CCUACGUCACAUCCGCACAGAGUCUCCAGUUGAAUUCAGUGGACGAACAUGGCGGUGCGUUUGAUUAAUCUGCUACCAUCCAACCUGAAAUAUGAAGUGUUUCAGCUUUCACACACCAAGUUAUGACUUUGAAGCGGGCUGAAAACAUUUUACGGUGUUGUGAAAAUCCUGCAGACCUUUCCAGCGAGGCUCAGCCUGCGGUGGCUCUGUCCUUUCCUGUUGUGUCUGCUAGAGAAAUGUGAGGCUGUUUGAGGCCCUGCUGUGACCCAUCAUGGCAGGGUUAUAGUUGUCUCUGUACAUUUGUGUUUAUUCAGGUGGCUGGAUUCUGCAUUAAUCCACAGGGACAGUGCACGAAGGCUGGCCGCUGCUGUCGAUGGCAUAUGGGUCACGAGAUGUGACCAUGGCGGCUGGCUUCUUCAGGAAUGACUCAUAAAGAGUAGCACAUGAAGAUGGGCAGCUGCCAUCUUCAGUUCCAACCGCGUGGACCACGAGUUUCAAAUAAGGAGAAACCGCAGCAUGUGUCUGCUGUUGAUGUCUCAAUAGACGCCAAGUGCGUGGUGGUGCUUCCAGAGAAAAGCUCUCCAGUGCAGAUGGUUGUUGUUGCUCAAAGCGCCAGAGAUUUAAGAGUCUGGCC